GGAGCCUCCUAGUCCUUCCACUUUGGUUUCAGACUUUGAGGAGACUUGAUGCCUUUGGAGGAGAGCAGCAUUUCACGGUUUCGAGAUGGCCUCCCUGAUGGGAAGGUGUGAUGGGAACUGGGAAGGGGCUCCCAGGCUACGUGUAAUGAGCUGAAGCCCCAGAGGUUACUGACAGACCAAAAUAUCCUGACAACCCCGGAAUGCCAGAAGGAGAGAAGGGGUUUGUAAAUCUGAGGACCUUGACUACUUUUAUAUCCCCAAUCUCAUCUUAAAUCUGAAUUGAACCUGUCAUAUUAUAGCCUGGCUCUUCUCUCACCAACUAUUUGGGGAACCCAGCCAACAUACUGUGAUGAAGCCUAAACAACUGUGGAGAGGCUCACGUGGAGAGGAGUCAAUGCCCACUGAUCUAUAAGCCUUGGCUGAGCUCUGAGCCAACAGUCAUGAUCAACUUCCAGCCGUAUAAGUGAACCAUCUUGAAAGAGGCUUCACCAGCACCAAGUUGAGCAACUUGAUUAUGUUACCAAAGAUCACCUCCUUCCUAUCAUCUUCCGUCUGAGACUUGCUUAGAGUGAGUUUGGAAGCUGUGUUUUGCUCAUCCUGAAGACUGAACAUAAGAAAAUAUUGCUCAAGUUCUGGAUGAUGCAGCUGCUGAAAUAAUCUGUGGUGCACUUUCCUUCAGGAAUCCUUACCUAUUUUUUCAGGUGUUCCACAAGCCUUCUUAUCUUGGAAUUCAGUAAUACUUAUUGUGUGGUUGCUUACUGUUCCCUAGGCACCCUGAAGCAUUGAAGCUUUGAAGCUUUGUCUCAUGCUUUCAAGUAAUGUUCUCGUGUUUACCUGCUGAUAUUCCUUCAAAGUUAGAGGCUGCCUCUCUCCAAGUGUGGAAAAAAACAAUCAGAUGUCACUAAGAUAUUGUGUAACAAUUCAUAUUAAACACAUGAUCUUGUCAGUCAAGAAGAAGAGAUUAAAACAAACACCUUGAGAGUUCAUGAGUAGAAGUAUACAGCCCUGCAUUCAUGAUAAUAUGGUGCAUUUUACCUACCUUGCAGCAGAAAGAGAUAUCUAAUUCCAUACACAGCAAUGUAACUGUUUAAAGUGCUCCUAAAAUUCAGACAAAACAAAUUAUAAAUAGUAUCAAGAUCAAAGAAGCUGAAAGUCCCUAUGUUUGAUGUAGGCACAGCAAAGUUUGAUGUAUAUGCUCAUUUCUCAGCACUGCAAGUAUGGAGAAACCAUCAGAAAGCAUGCUGAAAAUAGAGAGGGCUUCUAAAACAGAAAGCUCCUGCCUGUUUUACUGAAGGCUACCAGAUUCUUUCUCAGAAAUUUUGUACAGUUCAGAGGCACAAAUGCUCUUUUAGGUCCUUUGAAGCACUGGGUUUAAUAUCGGAAUUUAAUCUUGGCUCUAGUCUCCAAUUCCUUACAUAGUCAUUCAAGCAAUCUUGGGGACCAAGUCUUCCAAUAGCAUAGUGAUAUUCAUGCCUGAAGUGGGAGGAAUAGAUAUCCUCCUCAUUAACAAGGGAUGAGAGAUCAUGUUUCAUAGGCAAAAUACUCAUGCAUGCAAAAAUGUAACUUUUCCAGUAAUUUUUUUAGUACUGAAAUUAGCUUAGCUCAUUAGCUCUCUCUUCUACCUAGUAGCAGGGAAUGCAGUUUUGCUAACCCAGGUGACUCAUUAUUUCUGUUUUCAAGUUUAGUUUAUUUUAGGUAAAUUUUUGAAUUCAUAAUGUUUUUCUGACCUUUCUUCUCUUCCAGAAGAGGUUAUUCUAACUUCUUAAUGGAUUUACUUUUGUAGUUG
rnacentral:lncRNA from 10 species